UCCAAAAGUAAAUUGACUCGCAGUAAUUUUUUUUUAAAAAAGAACACCUCUCCUAAGUCUGUUAAAGAGUUCACAAAAUGCAAGGACCUGCAGUUCCAUGUGUUUCAUGAUGAAAAAUGACUCUCUCAAACUCCAGAUUCUAUACUGAUGCAACAAUUACAGGCUUCAGCCAAGAAUGGGGAAGAUACGCGUGAUGUGCUCCAGUGGAACACUAUCAGCAGUAUUUUUCUUAAGCUCUGGAUGGUUGAAUUCAGUGGGAGGAAGGGUGAUGAGUUGGCCCUUACCCUGGCCUUUUUCAACAACCCAACCGUUGUUCGAUACUUGGUGCUCAAGGAACUUAUCCAAUGAAACACCCUCAAUGUUGAUAGCCUCCGCAAGAAUGGUCCUUGGAACCUUCUGGUAGGUUAUUGAAAGGACAUGAACAGCAUAUGCUCGAAUUGCUUGUUCAAAACCAGAAACAGCUUCCACAAUGUGGCGGCUCUUUGCAGCUUCAUCCCAAAAUUGGCGGAACCUUGCAGUCUCUAAGAAGUGUGACAGAACAUUUAGUGUCUUGAAUUGCUCUUCAAUUUGCACUCGUUCGGGGAUUAGGAAGAGACACAGGCUGUAAUCUGGAGCUGGCAUUGCCAUUAAGGCCUUAACCAAAAUACGAGCAACAAUUGGUGUACUCAUUCUGUCCGGCUCAAACUGAUAAAGACGGAGCAGGCAAAGGUUUGCAUCCAGAUUGUAUGUUUGAGACAAAACCUGUUCGUUGACAUAGUUUUCAAGAUCAGGGAGGAUAUCUGGAUUGUAAGGGUUAACGGCAAUGAGCUGUUCUACAGUGAUAGCCAACUGUGACUUCUCGGAACCACCAUUAGUCGCCUCUUGAACCAUUUUGUAAACUGUAUCUGACUGCUUUCGAACAAAUUGGAAGGUGAAGAGAGGAGCCAAAAGGGGUUGCACUUGCAGUACAGCUGAACGGAGGUUUUAGGGUUAAGAGGGCGAGAGUAAG
rnacentral:misc_RNA from 1 species